AAAAAAAAAAAUAAUAUAUGUACCUACAAUUAAUUUAUUAUUAUUAUAUUAUAGAACAAAAAUUUUAUACUAGAACAUAUUAUUUUAUAAAACAAAAAUAUUAAUUCAUCUGGUAUUUCAAUAACUAGGUAAUGAAUAAACAGCACAUCGAAUUUUCAUUAUAAACAUUAAACAUAAUAAUAUAAUAUUGUAAUAUCACAUAAAAAACAAUAAAUUAUAAAAUAAUAGUUACAUAAUAUAUUAUUAUCUAGUCAACAGUCAACUAAAAAUUAAAGACAGUUAAGUUAUUAUGACGACAACUGAUGUCUCAACGUCUGAUUAAAAAAAACUAUGUUGUUUAUCACAGUAAUUUUAGAAAAAUUGAAGCAGCACAAAAUAAAAGAGGAAAUUUUAAAAAUGUAAAUUGUCCUGCAAAAAUAAAAAUUAUUGUGAAAAAAACUACUGUUGACACCAUUAAGAAGGAUCAAUUUAUUAAAGCUGGCUGAAUCGAGUAAGAAUCAUUUAAAAUAAACUCACUGAAUUUCCGUUUCCAUUAAUGUGCGAGAAAAUUUAUCGUUAUAUGGAUCUUCGCUAAAAGAAUUCAAAUAAUUUUCAAUGAUGAUUUCAUCAGGCAAAUCGAAGUCGUCAUUGUUCUUUUUUCCUACAUGAGCAUUAAAGUAUGGUAAUAAACACAAUAAAAUAUAAUAAGAUAAAAAAAAAUACAAUUUCUAAUUAUAUGAAGUAAAGGUUUUCAAGAAUUAGAAAAAAGAAGUCUGGUUGAGUAAUUAUUAAGUUCUAGAUAAGAAACUAAAUAAAUAUACCACAUAAAAAUAUUGGACCUAUGGUCGAAUUAUUGCUAACCAUUCCUAAUUCUUCUAGUUUUUUUUUGUAUACUGGUAUGAUUUCAUACUUAGCUUGACGAUUCUCAUUAUUGUACUAAAAAUAAUUUAAGAAAUUAGGUAUAUGAAAUAAAUGUUAAAUAAUUAAUAAGUUUAUAUUCAGUACCAAUUUAUUGUAAGCAGCAGCCAAGCCCGCAAAGCCCACCGCAAUACCGCCAAUGAUUCAAAAUCAAAAUACGGCAGAAAACGAAUUGUUAAUAAAGUGAACGAAUUAAACACAAUGAAAUAAAUAACAUGCAUUUUGUUGAUAUUCCUAUAACGUAGUCCAGGACGACGAAAUAAAAUAUAAUCAAACUAUAAAUAUAGAUGAAAAAAUAAAUAUUAUAAUUGUCUGUAUAUGAAAUAUAUACUAUUUGAAGCUUGAGUUUACACAACAUUUUAAUUACACUUGCUACUCGCAUAUUGUCCACGAUGUGACGCAGUCGGCUUGCUUACAUGGCUCAAACCUCACUGAUCCGGUGAAACGAUUUUCACUCGACCAACUUGAAGGCACCCGAGGAAAUUUCCUAACUCCAGCAAUUGAGUUUCCGCCAGCCACUAGUUGUGAUAAUAAAUUACAAAAUGACAAGAAUAGUAAUAAUAAUGAUUGCAAGACAGUGGUGUACCUGAAUUGCCUACCCAAAACGCCGCUGAACAUAAUAUCAGUAAUGAAAAUAUGUAUUAUACACUUCGAAAUUUGUCAAAAUAUCGUUUAACCGUUCUCGAAGAAAAUUAGAAUAUGAAUAUUCCAUUCUUGGUGAUAUAUCUCGGGGUGAUCUUUCAGCAAAACCUGAUGUUCUCAUGUCUCAUCUCAUAUAGAACAAGUCUGUUUUAAAGCCUAAAAUUAUCGGUUUUUAAUUAGAAAUAUAAAAGAGUUCAAGAAUGAAAUCUGUUUCAAAACAUCAUGUCUUUCACUUGUCAGGUCAAUACUUGAAUAUUGUUCAGUAUUAUGGAAUUCGUCACAAAAGGUCUAAACGAAUCACUUGAGCGUGUUCAAAGAAGAUUUUUACGACGUAUUGGCAACAAACCACAGCUAUUAUUACUGGUGACUUUCUUUCUUCCUUUUUUGUCUACACUCUACACCAUUGAAAAUAUUUCAAGAGAGUCUACACUUGGAAUGUUUGGAUAUUAAACGCCAAAGUAACGACAUUAACUUAUGUUCAAACUUUUAAACGAAACUGCCUACAUAAUGCCCUGAGAUUCUGGAAGACUGGAACUAGAACAAUUCCAUGUCAUUUAAUAUAUAUCUCGUUACUGUUCUACCUUCUUUACAAAAAAAAUCACCGAACAUCAUAUGGAUAUAAUAAUCUAAUUGCGUACCAUAUUUCGAGUGAAUACAUAUAAUUUAAUAAAUAUCGACACAUUCAACACAAAAAAUCUGGCAUAGUGGCAUCCCUAAAUCCCUUAGUAAUCAUAUUAUGAUUCUCAAAUACUUAUCUGCCUAUAUUUGUACAUUAUUCUGUAUUUAUAAUUAUUUUUAUUACAAAUGUUAAAUAUAUAAUAUAAUUAAGUCGAUUAAUGUAGUAUAUAUAGAUCUUUUUAUUUUUUCUAUACAUACCGUAUUAUUUUUGUUAUAUAUCUUAUAUAGUGUUUGAGCCUAUACAGACUAUAAAUAAAUAGUGUACACUGUAACUGUAUCUGUAACUGCCACUACUUUUCCCCCAUUCAUGAUAUCUAUAUUCACCCUUGCUUUAGUGUAAAUCGGUAAUAGUCGGGCAAUACACCUGUGGCGUAAGUGCGUAACGGUUACGGUUUAAGUGUAUUUAGGUUAAAUUGUAUUAUAUAUUAUAAAUUAAAUUAAAUAAUCAUAUAAAUAAUGUUGAAAUAUCUAUCGAACUUCAAAGUUAUUAAGGCACUAAAUUUAAUACAAUGUCCUUAAUAUUGAAAAAAAUAAAAUAAAAUAGGUACAUAAAUUUCAUAACAUACCUAAAGCUAUUAUUGUGUGGCAUAGAUUUUUAUUUUUUGUACAAUUUUAUGCACUUGCGUAAAUUCAACUACGAGUCGGUACGGUCCGGAAUGAGCCGGGAUUCGAAAAUUAAAUUGGUUUGAUGAAAAAUGAGAGUCGAUUACCAAAAUUAGAUAUUGUAUUGAAGAUAAACUAAAAUAAUGGAAAGCCGAUUGAAGAAAUCAGGUCAAUUACAAAAACAAGAAAUUCGAUAAAUUGGAUCCAAUUGAUGAAUUUUGGUUGAUAACAAAUUAAAAAAUCUUAGUAUAAUCUAGUAUACAAUAUGUUAUAUGUUAAAUGUAUGAUAACACGUCAUUA